CUCUAUUUUCUUUUACCUACCUGAUAUCUUUCCACUGGUUUCUGCUGAAAAGACCACACCUGCAGCACAUUCACGCAGAUGCUUUCUUAUUAAUCAACCCCGACGUUUUCUCAGAACUGCAGCCACGUCCCAGACUGCCCUGCUGACAUCUCCCAGAAGGUGCUGUAACCCUUCGCAGGGCAAAGGGACUGAAGGCCUUCUUGGGAUGGCUGUGAUUCUGGAGCUAGGGUGGGUUGUUUCCCAAUCAGGAGGUCGGUGGAUUGAUUCCCCAGCUACUGCAGUCUGCAAGUAUAACAUGAAAGUCAGGAUGCUGACACCAAGCCUGUAGACAUGUGUGCAUCCGUCCACGGAUAUUCCUCCCCACCACUGACCCACCACUGAACCGGACAUGCUGAAUGAUGUCGUCCACGGCUCCUCCAGACCCUUUCACAUGUGUCAGUCAGGCUCCACGGUCCCGGGCAGUGAGCACUGGGCCUGUUAGAGGACGUUGGGCCCUCAGGCCACGCUUGUGAAGUCUGUUUCUCAUUGUUGGUCAGAGACAUUCACAUCAGUGGCUGUCACACCAGAGGUCACUUUGUCGGGCUGUGGCAGUCCUCAUCAUGUUCCUUCUUGCACAAAGGGGCAGAUUCCUGUAAUGCUGAUGGCAUAAAAGCCUUCUAGGGCCAUGUCCAGCUCUCCUAGAGUACCUGCUUUUCUCCUGGAAUCUCCUCCAUAGUCUUGAGACUGUGCUGGAAGACACAGCAGAACUUCUGUCGAAUGGCACGUAUUGAUGUGCCAUCCUGGAGGAGUUGGACUACUUGUGCUUCUAUAGGUAUCACUUUGCGGGGGGGUCAGCAGCCUCCACCUAUAACAUCAUUCCUUGGCGAUUGAUCACUAUUGUACCUCUAGUGCACCUGUUGUUCAUUCCAUUAACAUCAAAGCAGCGGAAACUGAUUAACAACCCCUGUGCUACUUAACUGACCAGAUCAAUAUGAAUGCUAUACUCUGAUUAGAAUUAGAACCACGAUGAUACUGUAAAGUGUGCUAAAUGAAUACUGAAGGACUUCAGUUGUGACACAGGGACUGGAGGAAGGAGACAGCUGUUCGCUCGGCUCAGUCAAAAGUGAAAAAUAA